UCCCGGCAGUCCGAGUCGCAGCCACAAUUAUUGGGUCUAAAACAUCCGUAGCUUGCCUUGUAAGUCUAUUGUGAAAUUCUGUCUCUUAAGGGCAGAGAUUGCAAUGGAUACUGCUUGGCUAGAGACUGGGGGGCGUAAGAAGUACAUUUGAGGUAGUGGUAAAAUACGUUAAUCUCAGAUGGACUAACGAUUAGCGAAGGCAUCUUACGAUAACAGUUCUGACAGUGAGGGAUGAAGGCUAGGGG
rnacentral:rRNA from 1 species